UUUGCCCUCCCCUCUCUCUCUUCAUUAAUUGCCGUCACCUAAUCUGUCCUUCUCCCGCUGGCGUUCCCCCCUCUCUCUUCUCUGUUCUUCCUCACAGCUUGCACGAAAGGCCUCAAACAUUUUCUCUCUUUUUCAAAUUUCUCUCCCACCCAAGAGCGAGCCCGCCGGUACCGAGCUCAGAUCCGCCGCUUCCGGCACGUCGCCUCCGCCUCUGCCGUCGCCUCCAGGAGCCACUCCCUCAAGCCGAGAGCCCGCCGAUCGCAUUACAAGCUUAGAUCCGCGCCUCCGCCACGUCGCCUCCAGGAGCCAGCCCGCCGGUCGCAGCUGCUGUGAGUGUUAGAAACCCAAAGGUUCAGACUAAUAUUAUUAAGGCAAUGGGAUGCUUCAGUGUAGGUUGCUUGGUCUAAUGCUCGUUGUCUUCGUUUGCACGUAUAUAUAUGUUCUAUGGUAUGGAACUUUGCUCAUUUUUAUUCCAUCGAGAGUGAGUUCAGAAAGUAACUGGUAAUAAUGACAGGUUUUAGAAGUUUUUGUUCAACUUUGAUUUUCAGUUUGGCUUCAACUUGCAGGUCACGGUAGGAGGAUUGAAUUCAAAAGUUCACUCGAGAAAGAUCUCGUUCCAAGAGAAUUCGUGCAGCAAAAGUCUAGUCAAUUUGCUAAAAUCUAAGCAAGAAUUUCAAUACGGUGGGUAUGCCCAUGGAGAAUUUGAACUCGGGAAGCAAUGACACCGUCAGCAAAUGCAUUGACAUAGUUUGUGACUGGGAGAUUUGUUCGUGUGUAUAUUAGAGCCGAAUGCAGAACUCAGAAUUUAGUUCGCUUGCCUGUUUUCAUAAUGACAUUGAACUCAUAGGAUGUUGCUCAAUUGCUCAGGAAAGUUUCUGUUCUAUCUGAUAACAGUUUAAUUUUGGCCCCUUCAACAUUGCUCUCGCUACUGAGAGUGUGCAUCCAAAGCUUGGUUGCCUGAAAAGCUGUGUAAAAGAUUUUCACCAUAUCCGGAUGACAAUCAUUGUCAGAAAACAGAAGUUCGAGAGAACAAUGCCACUCUUAACUAAUUGAUGUUAUGAUCUACUGUUGAUUCUACAAAUUAACCAUAACCUGCACAUAUUUGAGAUGUCCGACUUGGCCACCGGUUGUAAGUUUGGUGAGACUGAACUAUAUGAAACAUACUUGAUCCUGCCAUGUUCUAUUACUAUUCCGAAUCUAGUCAUCUCAGCCUCACAAAUGCUCUACUAUUGCCCCAUAUUAUAUCUCCUUAAUUUUGGUGCGGCCGUAACAUUCUCUGUUUUCACGCACCGGAAAUUGUCAUGCAUCCAAGUUCUGCAUUGGGCAUAGACAUGGCUUCUCAAGCUUCUGUUAUCAACAAAUUUUGAAGAAGAAACCUUCAAAAAAACGAGAUGGGAUUCCUGCGGCAAAUCACUUUUUUAAGGCUUUCAAUUUUCGCAGGAUGUUGAACACCAGCAAAAUGAGCUGUUCUGGCAGUACUAAUAGACUCGUCCCUUCCCAGUCUUUCUAGUUUCUACGCACAUACAAAUGUUACCAGAACACAAAUUAAGAGGGUAAGCCAGCAGCCGAGUCAAAAAGUGCCCAUCUCCAUAUGGCAUGUGAAGCUAACACCAGAAAAUAACAAUCACCCGCAGAAAAGGACAUCAUUCCAAGCCCAUCUCCCUUUCAUAAUUGCCAAUCUAUGGGAUCAAGUCCGAUGUUCUCCAGAAUCUGGUUUGUGCGAGAAAAAUGCCUGUUUGAUUUGUAAAAUCGGGUUAUUAUCUCAAGUUACAUUUGACUGCUUGAAAAUUGUAUCUAAUGGAAGGAAAGGACAUGAAGAAACGCUGCCCCUGAAGCCACUUCAACAGCUUUCAAGUUAUUAAAUUCAAAAGAGACUGCACUUGAACUGUUAUCAUUUGGUGUACAGGACUGGUCUUCGUGUGCACACAGGCAGACAUCAUUUAUCUCAGUACUAAACAUUACUCUAAGAACAUGAAGAUUUAUGAGAUUUGCACGACUCCGUGGCAUCUACAUUCAUGAAACCAGCCCCAGCAAGCUUUACUCAUAAUAUGCCGGGUUCCCUUGACAUUUAACGGCACAAAUUUAGUUCUAAAGAGUGAACAACUCUUCAGUGAAAGUCACUGGAUGUCAAACCUGACUAGAAGUGAGAAGGUUUUCUAUUACCCUAUAGAGCCAUCACUAGAACACCCUACAUGGUCUAGGGACGAAGAUCACGAAGAGACCCACUGCCCAGCGGGUAAGCCGGUCUCGUCCGCGAGCAGGAACAACGAAGAAUGCGGAGGCGGAGGCGCGGAUCUGAGCUCGGGAUGCGACCGGCAGGCUCUUGGCUUGAGGGAGUGGCUCCUGGAGGCGACGUGCCGCAAGCGGCGAAUCUGAGCUCGGGACCGGCGGGCUCGCUCUUGGGAGGGAGAGAAAUUUGAAAAAGA